GCCUACUCUCUGUUUGAUUUACCUUGGUUUAUUUGGAUUUGGUUACAUUAAAUAUUUUCGGAUAGGUACAAAUACCAAAUUGUAAGGUCGAAGUCUGACAAACUUUCAUUUAUGGUCCUGGAUGGGUUGAUUCAACUGGCUGCUGUCCUCGGAGAGGUUACCAUGAUCCUAAUGUCACCGUGGGCUACCUAAUUUUAUACCCUUGGACUACGUUAAAACAACUGAGGACCGGCACCCAACACCUGCCACUGUGGAAGUCCUGAGCCCAAGAAUAGAUUGGAUAAGUUACCAAGUAGACCAAAGUACCAUCAAGAUAAUUACUAAAUUAUCCACUGUAGCAAUUUUAACUUAAUUUUUAUUUUAUUUUUACUCCUUAGAAAUGAAUUUUCAUCUUAUAAAAGUGGAGAGAAACUGAGAACUGGCUACCUCUGACACUAAUCCACAUAUACAUAAUAGUUUGGUAAAGGGUUACUUAUGUUUGUUAUGAUGGAUUAUAUAGGCCCUAAAUACUUAUAGCCCCAAACUUUUGACCAGUGGCCGGGACCCCUAGGCCUACACCUGAAAACCUAACCUAAAAUUUGUUGAUAAGUAAGAAUAGGCCUAACUUCUUUUGAUUUGUGACAUUAAAUAGUUUACUUGAACCAUGGGGCCUGUAGUUUUAUUUACUAGUCAACAUUUUAAACAUGAAAUUUCAGUUUGAAUUAAUCAUGAGCUAAGAGAGAGAAAUUUUAUUCACAACUCAGCUGACAGUUGUAAUAUUCUGAAUGUCUGAAAAGUGAUAAAAGUUUAGUUUCCUGAAUUUUAAGUAGCCUAUGUUCACGAUUAUUGACUAAAGAACUUUCAAUUUCAGUGUCAAUUAUGUAGGCCCACGAAACUUUAAUAAUAAAUAAUAGGUAGUUAUUUGUCUUAAACGUAUGGUAACUGUCACGCUAAAAUUUAAACCCAAGUCAGGACCAUGUUGACCGAGUAACUUAGUAUUUUAAGUUAUAAGUUUUGUUUGUUUGAACUUAUUAUUUAAGUUAUGUGCAUUUGUUUGAUUAAGUAGCAAUAUUUUUUGACAAUUCAAAUAUUUUUAACUGGAAUUAGGGACCUAGUGAUAUUUUCAGUACAUCAAAGACUGAGAUACACCUGGGUUCUGACAUUAGAAUUUUUAGAUUCAGGGAAAUUCAUCAAGGCCUAGGCCCAAUACAAGGCUGUGCCAAUUUUCAAGAAUUUUAAAAGGUUAGAUUUUACUUUAAGUAGUCCUAACUUAUGAUUUGUUUAAAGGGGUCCUAUCCUGAGCCUGACCAACAGCUACAAGCAUGUGAACAUCUAGACCUACUAAUAGUUCAACACUGACCACACCUCACAAACUUCAAGUGUCGUCCGACAACUUAGCUACUGUAGGCUAUCCCAAGGCCCAUCAAUCAAUUCCUAGAAAGGUGCAAUUGGGUGAUCAUCUUAGCCGUUGUCCUCGUCAUGAUUGCUAUUCUCUGGCCCCUCCUUGCUGUUGUCAGCUGCAUACAUAGCCCAUGUACUGUCACAAGGGUGUUAUUAUAUAAAAAUUCAGAUAGAGGCAGGUGGUGUGGCAAACAUUUGGUCCUGACCUAAAGUUUUACUCCACAGGCUGGGGCUGGCUGAGUUUUGGUUGUUACUGAAAAAGGUAGUAUUUCUUUGGUAGAUAUAUUAUAAAAUAAACUGAGUCUGUCAGUUUAUAUUGUGUUAGGUUAAACAUAAACUUAAGAACAUAAAGUCCAAGAAAACUUGAAAAUGGGUUCUUUUUAAAUUUCAGAAUUAACCACUUUGGCCAUUACUAUUUUCAACUAAUUGUUUUGUGUGUUAUUUUAUUUAAUUAUCAAGCAGAAUAGUGAUUUUUUGUUUGAAGGAAUUUGUUACACUUUUGUUUUUAAAAUAUGAAAU